CAAAAGUCAUUUGCAAGAAGUUUAAUUAACUGAAUCAACAAAAUAUCCACAUUUGAUUAAUUAGCAUAGAAAGCUGCUCUCUCUCUCUCUCUCUCUCUCCCCCCCUCUCUAAAGAUUUGGCUCUAUGUACAUAAGUGAGAACCCCAUCUUCCCCUAAAGCAAACAAAACAAACGCAAAUAAAAUAAAACCAUGCCACAAGAAAAGUAAUUGACGAAGACAGUAUUUAUGACAAAAAAUUCACGGAAUAAUGCCAACGAGAGGGGCUGGAGCGAUAACAAAAGUAGUCGUUGAGAUAUUUUCAGGUGACUCGUUUCGAUGAAUCACUGCGCCAACCGCUUCUGCUACAACCAACACGAACUCGAUUGCCAAUUUCACCAACUCUAUGCACAUCUCCAACCUCUGAAUCAUCAUCAUGGCCGCCUGCUACGAAUGCAAAAAAUCCAACUUAUUAUUAUGUUUCUCACGAUCUUCUUCUUCUUCUUCCUCUUCCUCUUCUUCUAAUCUCAGCGUCACUAAGUUAUAAAGACUGCAAGCGAGAACAAGUAAGCUUUAUAUUGCCCUUUCGAAGCACCCGAAAGCCAAUAACCUGUGGCACAAGGAAUUAAGGUAAGUGUAAGCUCAUUAUCAAGAUGAUUUAUGAAGAAACACACAAGGCAGCAGAAUAUAAGUACAUGUUUAUCCAUUGAUCGAGUAUAACACAUCAGGCUUCAAGACAUGGAAUGAGUGGUGACAGCGACACAUUUUUUUAACAAUAUGAAUAAGAAUUUUAAUUAGAAUAAUAUAAUUAACUAUUACUGGAUCUUAGAUUUGAUCAUUGUAAUUCACGGAAAGUCUAAUAGUGGAAAAUGGGGUCAAUGGUGUCUAUAAAGAACGAAACAUUCGAGGAAAUGGUGGGGGUCUCACUUCUGGAAAUAGUGAAACUGCAUACAUCUAUGUAUAAAUAAUGUAAGGAUAGUGCUUAAUGAAAUUAUUGCAUCUCUGCAACUUACCAUUAUUCUAUUCAAUAAUACAGAAGCUCACUUAAAAUAAAAUAACACUUGGGCUUAAUUAGAUUAUUGUAACUUUGAAACUUACCAUUAUUAUAUUCAAUACAUACAGAAAUUCACUUUUUACUUUUUUUUUUAAUGAAAAAAUAUCACUGCUUCACUUUUAUUUUACUUUAUAUUCAUCCAACUGCCAUAAAAAUUUAACAUGUUAUCUACACCACCUUUCUUUUUAAAUUUGUGUCAAUUAGUUACUUUUGUACUAACACUGUUAAAUAGUUUAAACGAAAUAACAAUUUUACUCUAAAAUAAAUUAAAAGACCAUUUCAUCUUA
rnacentral:lncRNA from 1 species